rnacentral:rRNA from 1 species
UUCCGGUUGAUCCUGCCGGACCUGACUGCUAUCGGAUUGAUACUAAGCCAUGCGAGUCAUUGUAGCAAUACAAGGCAGACGGCUCAGUAACGCGUAGUCAACCUACCCUAUGGACGGGAAUAACCUCGGGAAACUGAGUAUAAUGCCCGAUAGAACACUAUACCUGGAAUGGUUUGUGUUUCAAAUGAUUUAUUGCCGUAGGAUGGGACUGCGGCCUAUCAGUUUGUUGGUGAGGUAAUGGCCCACCAAGACUAUUACAGGUACGGGCUCUGAGAGGAGUGGCCCGGAGAUGGGUACUGAGACACGGACCCAGGCCCUAUGGGGCGCAGCAGGCGAGAAAACUUUGCAAUGUGCGAAAGCACGACAAGGUUAAUCCGAGUGGUUUCUGCUAAAGGAACCUUUUGACAGUCCUAGAAACACUGUUGAAUAAGGGGUGGGCAAGUUCUGGUGUCAGCCGCCGCGGUAAAACCAGCACCUCAAGUGGUCAGGAUGAUUAUUGGGCCUAAAGCAUCCGUAGCCGGCUCAGUAAGUUUUCGGUUAAAUCUGUACGCUCAACGUACAGGCUGCCGGGAAUACUGCAGAGCUAGGGAGUGGGAGAGGUAGACGGUACUCGGGAGGAAGUGGUAAAAUGCUUUGAUCUUUCGAUGACCACCUGUGGCGAAGGCGGUCUACCAGAACACGUCCGACGGUGAGGGAUGAAAGCUGGGGGAGCAAACCGGAUUAGAUACCCGGGUAGUCCCAGCUGUAAACUAUGCAAACUCAGUGAUGCAUUGGCUUG